UAACUGCGAGUGAACUGGGAAAGCUCAAAUUGAAAUCUGGCAGUCUGUUUUUUUCUUCUUUGGCUGUCCGACUUGUAAUCUAGAGAAGUGCUACCUGUACUGGACCAUGUAUAAGUCUCCUGGAAUGGAGUGUCACAGAGGGUGAGAAUCCCGUCUUUGACAUGGACCGCCAGUGCGUUGUGGUGUGCUCUCAACGAGUCGAGUUGUUUGGGAAUGCAACUCUAAAUGGGUGGUAAACUCCAUCUAAAGCUAAAUAUUGGCGAGAGACCGAUAGUGAACAAGUACCGUGAGGGAAAGAUGAAAAGGACUUUGGAAAGAGAGUUAAACAGUAUGUGAAAUUGUUGAAAGGGAAAUGCUUGAAGUCAGUUGUGUUAGUCAGGGAUCAACCUAGYUCUUUAUGCUGGGUGAAUUUCCUACUCUAACAGGCCAACAUCAGUUUUGACUGCUAGAGAAGGGUAGAAGGAAUGUGGCACCUUUUGGUGUGUUAUAGACUUCUGCCAGAUGUAUCAGUUGGGACUGAGGAAUUGCAGCAUGCUGUAAAAGCUGGGUUUCGACCUCAUUCAUGCUUAGGAUGUUGGCUUUUAAUGGCUUCAAUCAACCCGUCUUGAAACACGGACCAAGGAGUCUAACAUGCCUGCGAGUGUUUGGGUGGUAAAACCCAUGUGCACAAUGAAAGUGAAAGUUGAGAUCCCUGUCAUCGGGAGCAUUGACGCCCGGACCUGAGCUUUUAGCGAUGGAUCUGCGGUAGAGCAUGCAUGUUGGGACCCGAAAGAUGGUGAACUAUGCCUGAAUAGGGCGAAGCCAGAGGAAACUCUGGUGGAGGCUCGUAGCGAUUCUGACGUGCAAAUCGAUCGUCGAAUUUGGGUAUAGG
rnacentral:rRNA from 1 species